UACGGGGGGGGCAAGCGUUGUUCGGAAUUACUGGGCGUAAAGGGCCAGUAGGCGGCCAACUAAGUCCGACGUGAAAUCCCAAGGCUUAACCUUGGAACUGCGUCGGAUACUGGAUGGCUUGAAUUCGGGAGAGGUGAGUGGAACUGCGAGUGUAGAGGUGAAAUUCGUAGAUAUUCGCAAGAACACCAGUGGCGAAGGCGGCUCACUGGCCCGGUACUGACGCUGAGGUGCGAAAGCGUGGGGAGCAAACAGG
rnacentral:rRNA from 1 species